rnacentral:rRNA from 1 species
UGAGGAAUUUUGCGCAAUGGGGGAAACCCUGACGCAGCAACGCCGCGUGAGUGAUGAAGGCUUUCGGGUCGUAAAGCUCUGUCAAGUGGGAAGAACCUGUUUCGUGCCAAUACCACGAAACACUGACGGUACCACUGAAGGAAGCACCGGCUAACUCCGUGCCAGCAGCCGCGGUAAUACGGGGGGUGCUAGCGUUAUUCGGAAUCAUUGGGCGUAAAGGGCGCGUAGGCGGUCGCUAAAGUCAGAUGUGAAAGCCCUCGGCUUAACCGAGGAAGUGCAUUUGAUACUUAGCGACUUGAGUAUGGGAGAGGGAAGCGGAAUUCCUGGUGUAGCGGUGAAAUGCGUAGAUAUCAGGAGGAACACCGGUGGCGAAGGCGGCUUCCUGGACCAAUACUGACGCUGAGGCGCGAAGGCGUGGGGAGCAAACAGG